GAUGAACGCUGGCGGCGUGCCUAAUACAUGCAAGUCGAGCGAACGGACGAGAAGCUUGCUUCUCUGAUGUUAGCGGAGGACGGGUGAGUAACACGUGGAUAACCUACCUAUAAGACUGGGAUAACUUCGGGAAACCGGAGCUAAUACCGGAUAAUAUUUUGAACCGCAUGGUUCAAAAGUGAAAGACGGUCUUGCUGUCACUUAUAGAUGGAUCCGCGCUGCAUUAGCUAGUUGGUAAGGUAACGGCUUACCAAGGCAACGAUGCAUAGCCGACCUGAGAGGGUGAUCGGCCACACUGGAACUGAGACACGGUCCAGACUCCUACGAGAGGGAGCAGUAGGGAAUCUGCCGCAAUAGGCGAAAGCCUGGCGGAGCAACGCCGCGUGAGUGGUGGAAGUCUUCCGAUCGUAAAACUCUGUUAUUAGGGAAGAACAUAUUUGUAAGUAACUGUGCACAGCUUGACGGUACCGAAUCAGAAAGCCACGGCUAACUACGUG
rnacentral:rRNA from 1 species